CUCAAAUGAUGAACCUAUUGACGGGCGGACAGAUUGUCUGUGCUGAAUGUCAUGUUCUGAUCUG